GAUGAAGAACGUAGCAAAAUGCGAUAAGUAAUGUGAAUUGCAGAAUUCAGUGAAUCAUCGGAUCUUUGAACGCACAUUGCGCCCGCUGGUAUUCCGGCGGGCAUGCCUGUUCGAGCGUCAUUUCAACCCUCAAGCCCCCGGGUUUGGUGUUGGGGAUCGGCUCUGCCCUUCUGGGCGGUGCCGCCCCCGAAAUACAUUGGCGGUCUCGCUGCAGCCUCCAUUGCGUAGUAGCUAACACCUCGCAACUGGAACGCGGCGCGGCCAUGCCGUAAAACCCCAACUUCUGAAUGUUGACCUCGGAUCAGGUAGGAAUACCCGCUGAACUUAAGCAUAUCAAUAAGCGGAGGA
rnacentral:misc_RNA from 1 species